CUGUCUCAAAAAUAUUAGAUGAAAUGUUUAUCAAGGGCCAUGACAAGAGGACAUCUUAAGCCUUUUCAAUCAGCCUUAGUAAAUCUCUCUUUUAAAAAGAGAAAAAGCAGAAAGGAGGAAGAGAGAUUUCAGGCAUUUUGAAGAAGACCCUGGAGCCAGUGAAUGUUUGGAUGAGGAACCCAUCUCAGAACCAUAUGGGAUGCUGAAGAACUCAGAGAAUCAGGGCAGCGAUCAGCACUGUAAGUAAUACAGCUGUACUAUACAGCACUUUCAAUUAACAGUGUUUUCAGAGCCACUGUCUUUUUAAUCUGCAGUUCCUUUCCUCCCAAAAGCA
rnacentral:lncRNA from 1 species